GAGUAAGCGACGUAGCGGUUUUCCUUCCAAUGGUGGAACGGAGCAUCAGGCCCGAUUUCGCCGCCAAGUUCCUUGGCGAUCGCCAGCGCCAUAUCCUGCUCGACUGUGACCAGCGGCUCCCCGCCCCNNNNNAGAUAGGGCUUAGUCUUGAACAAUGCGAUGUCCUUAGUACGCUCAUCGCUCUCAACCCGAUCGUAAAGACGCACGACGGUCGGGCGGAGUUCUGCUUGCAUAAUGA
rnacentral:misc_RNA from 1 species